rnacentral:rRNA from 1 species
GACGAACGCUGGCGGCGUGCCUAAUACAUGCAAGUCGAGCGAAGUUUUUCUGGUGCUUGCACCGGAAAAACUUAGCGGCGAACGGGUGAGUAACACGUAAAGAACCUGCCUCAUAGACUGGGACAACUAUUGGAAACGAUAGCUAAUACCGGAUAACAGCAUUAACUGCAUGGUUGAUGUUUAAAAGUUGGUUUUGCUAACACUAUGAGAUGGUUUUGCGGUGCAUUAGCUAGUUGGUGGGGUAAAGGCCUACCAAGGCGACGAUGCAUAGCCGACCUGAGAGGGUGAUCGGCCACACUGGGACUGAGACACGGCCCAGACUCCUACGGGAGGCAGCAGUAGGGAAUCUUCCGCAAUGGGCGAAAGCCUGACGGAGCAACGCCGCGUGAGUGAAGAAGGAUUUCGGUUCGUAAAGCUCUGUUGUUAGGGAAGAAUGAUUGUGUAGUAACUA